GCCAUGUUCUCAGCCACCAUUCCAUGCUGGCCCUGCUGUCUCUGGCGUUCGAGGAGCCGCUGCUGCUGCUGGUGGAUGAGGUGCACCAGGAACGCUCCUUCUCCCCGGAUCGCCCGUUCGUGUCGUUCCGCCGGGCUCUGGCUGAGGCCGGGGCCCCCGCUCUCCUCCUCCGUCCAGCUCGUCUCCUUCUACUCCCUGUCCAAGAGCGCCGCCGGAGAGAGCGGCUUCCGCGCGGGGUUCCUGGAGCUGGUGAACAUCGAGGAGGGGGUUCGGGAGCUCUUCCAGCUGGCCCAGUC